rnacentral:rRNA from 1 species
UACGGGGGGGGCAAGCGUUGUUCGGAAUUACUGGGCGUAAAGGGCGCGUAGGCGGCCUGCUAAGUCGGAUGUGAAAUCCCUCGGCUCAACCGAGGAACUGCAUCCGAUACUGGCGGGCUUGAAUCCGGGAGAGGGAUGUGGAAUUUCAGGUGUAGCGGUGAAAUGCGUAGAGAUCGGGCGGAACCCCAGCGGCGAAGGCGGCAUCCUGGCCCUUACCUGACGCUGAGGCGCGAGAGCGUGGGGAGCAAACCGG